rnacentral:rRNA from 1 species
UGGCGGACGGGUGAGUAAUGCCUAGGAAAUUGCCCUGAUGUGGGGGAUAACCAUUGGAAACGAUGGCUAAUACCGCAUGAUGCCUACGGGCCAAAGAGGGGGACCUUCGGGCCUCUCGCGUCAGGAUAUGCCUAGGUGGGAUUAGCUAGUUGGUGAGGUAAGGGCUCACCAAGGCGACGAUCCCUAGCUGGUCUGAGAGGAUGAUCAGCCACACUGGAACUGAGACACGGUCCAGACUCCUACGGGAGGCAGCAGUGGGGAAUAUUGCACAAUGGGCGCAAGCCUGAUGCAGCCAUGCCGCGUGUGUGAAGAAGGCCUUCGGGUUGUAAAGCACUUUCAGUCGUGAGGAAGGUUUAUGCGUUAAUAGCGUAUAGAUUUGACGUUAGCGACAGAAGAAGCACCGGCUAACUCCGUGCCAGCAGCCGCGGUAAU